rnacentral:rRNA from 1 species
UACAUGGGGUGCAAACGUUGCUCGGAAUUAUUGGGCGUAAAGCGCACGUAGGCGGUUCGUUAAGUCGGAUGUGAAAGCCCUCGGCUCAACUGAGGAAGUGCACCCGAAACUGGCGAGCUUGAGUACGAAAGAGGAUCGCGGAAUUCCUGGUGUAGCGGUGAAAUGCGCAGAUAUCAGGAGGAACACCGAUGGCGAAGGCAGGUCUCUGGGCAUUAACUGACGCUGAGGAGCGAAAGCAUGGGGAGCGAACAGG